rnacentral:rRNA from 1 species
UACGUAGGGGGCUAGCGUUGUCCGGAAUCAUUGGGCGUAAAGAGCGUGUAGGCGGUCCGGUAAGUCCGUUGUGAAAGUCAAGGGCUCAACCCUUGAAUGCCGGCGGAUACUGUCGGGCUAGAGUCCGGAAGAGGCGAGUGGAAUUCCCGGUGUAGCGGUGAAAUGCGCAGAUAUCGGGAGGAACACCUAUGGCGAAGGCAGCUCGCUGGGACGUUACUGACGCUGGAGGAGCGAAAGCGUGGGGAGCGAACGG